GCCUUCGUGGUGUAGUGGUCAGCACGCUUGCCCCGUAACCGAGAGGUCAGUGGUUUGAUUCCCGGCGAAGGCG
rnacentral:tRNA from 1 species